UUUUUUUCUGAGAGUAAUUAUGAAAAUACAUCAAUUGUUAUGAAUAAUUCCACUUUAAAAUAUGCAAUGUUUGAUAAUAGAUCUCAAAUAUGCAAUUAAUUUCCUCUUUUCUAAUCAGCCUCCUCCUAUUUGGAGUCUUAAUAGCUGAAAUAGCAGAGAUCCAUUGUGUUUUUAAUCAAAUUAGCAGGCAGAUUUCCUCCUUUAUUGCCCUUCCAUAAAAAUCUAUUUAGCAUAAAAUAAGGAUGCUGUAACAUUUCCAGGCAAUAUUUGAUUAUGUACAGACUUAAAUGCUUCCAAUUCUAACCAAUUAUUGGAGGGUGCAUCUAAUUAUAUCUUCACUUCUAAUUCAGCAAUCUGUUUUUCCAGUUGUUUCAAUCUGGCAUAUUACUCUUUUUUCCUAUCAGCUGAAAAAAAAAAAAGAUAUAAUAGACCUGCAUAGCAUUGAUCAAGCAAUUUCCUUAAAUGAAUAACUGGUGUUCUUUAUGGGCAACUCUGGAAGCUGCAAACAAAUAUCAUCAUUUGUUCAACUAAUUGGGGGAAAAAAUCACUAAGGAAGAAAAGGAUUUAAAAACUAACUUUCCACAAAAAUGAGAGGCACAGAUGAUGUAAUAAAUAGGUUGCUAUUAAUGAGUGUGUAUGUGUACCUAUGUGUGUAAUAGGAGUGAUUGCAUAGCCAAGUAAGAUUACUGAAGGGGAUAAACAGGAGAUUCAACUUGGACAGGACGAACACUUUGAUUAAGAGGUACAGUUCACUGUUUAUCUGAAGCCUUACCUCUACCCUCAGUAAGUUGAGGCUUUCUGAGACAGGUACACAACAGAGUUCACUAUUACCAAGUAACAAAAGCAAAGAGAUGGAUGGAGUUGAGUGGGGAGGGGGAAUCUGUUUAAAUUAUUGCCCUCUGUCAUAUGGCCCCUUUCUAGUUUCUAACAAGGCAGUGUGAUUCCCACUUAUCUUCUUUGUUCAAAAAGACACAUGACUGAGCCUUCCUGCCUAAAAUUUCAAUCUACCCAUCAGAUUCAUAAUCUUUAUAUAUUAAACUAAUCUUGUUGUUGAGCAAAUAAUGGUAGUACAACAGUUGUGAAAGGCCCUGUGCUCAGCACUAAGGAUAUGGUAUGCCUGAGGGUUGGAAGUUGGGGCAUGGGAAAGAGUGUACUAAAAAGCAAGAAAGCAGAUAGGAAGAAUGGGAGGGAGGGAAAGGGAAGGGGGAGAGAAAUGAAGGAAGGAAAGAAGGAUAGAUGGAAGGAAGGAGGGAAGGAAGACAGG
rnacentral:lncRNA from 1 species